GAGAUUCGAAACCAUGCUUUGCUGAAAACGUCUGGCUGCCGGUCUAGAUCAUGACUCCUAAGAUUCUCAAUCUACUGCGGUGAUGCCAUUACUUUGGGACUUACUAAUUUGGGCUUCUUCCAGAGCUGAAAACUGAUUACAAAUAUGAAACAGAUUUUACUACUGGACUUGAACUCCACAUAAAGAAUAAAAAGAUUCUCAAAAUAAUUGAAAAAGAUCUUCACCAAAGAAUAGAUGCAGUGUGACUGGAAGAGUAUCAAAGAGGUACUUGAUUGCAUUGUACAAACACACUAAUCUAGAGUAGAUUGGAAAGAAAGAAGAAGGUGAAGGAGCAGAGAUGAUUCAGGAGCACAAGGCAAGAGCUCCACCUCUCACAAAGACUUGACGGUUGCAAUGCUCACAAGGGAAGAAUAUGGCAUGAAAAAGAUGACCUUCUCCAUAAACCUGGGACCCUAAACAAGCUACACUCUCAAUUAUCCCACACAGAGCUGAUGGAAUUACCUCAUGAUGAUUUCAAAGAAAAUUCUCUUCUCUAAACACUUUUAUCCCAAGAAGGCAUCAGACCGGGACACUGAGUCCUGUUCCAGAUGGGUGUAUCACAGAACCACUUCCAGGAUGGUAGGGUCACCCCAGAGCCUAUGGAUCCAGAAAAUGUGAUGAUGCAACACAUACCCAACCUUGCUUCUGCCAACGUGGAUUCAGGGCGCCUGGUAGUGACUGAGCACUAAGCACAUGGCAAGCAUUCAACACAGAGAAAUGGAGAUACAUCUUGGAGAUAAAUAGAAGGCCAGCCUCCUCCUAUUGGAAGACGCUGGGUUGAGGUUCAGAGCAGGUAAGCCACUGGACCAGCAACCCCGACCUAGGCAGAGGCUGGCAUCCAGGCUCUCUGACAGAGCCUGCUCUCCCUCCAAAGAAGCUGGUCCUCUUCAUGCCUCUCUGGGCUUGUCUUCUACCUUCUCUCUUUUCCCAUAAGGGGUGUUUCUCUCUUUGUAUGCAAAUCCUUUUAGCCCUUCAACAAACAGGUCAAACCUCUGAAAACUCUGGCUUGCCCCAAUCUCACCCUCUCCAUACCACCAAGCAUAUUUAGUGUUUAGCUGUGGCAGGUGGUUGUAGCUAAUCUAACACUCUUCUUUUGUUAUCUGCUGGUGUUGUGUGUGGAAGUUUCUUCUCUCAGAUACACUCUCCAUCCUGAAAACAAGGACUGGAUUUUUACACUUUUUUUUUACCCCCACACCUAGUUUGGUAAGGGUUACUCUGUUGGUGUUAGGGUUGGAAGAAUUUAAUGGAAAUAUAUAAGGGAAAAAGGAUGUCAGUCACUAAGUUUUCUUACUCUAGGGAGAUGUAGAAGCUACAGUUUCUAGGGUAAAUAUGGGGAAAAAAAAAAAAAA
rnacentral:lncRNA from 1 species